rnacentral:lncRNA from 1 species
AGUUUCCUCCUUAAUUACAGGUAAAUGACAGUUUGUGGGCUUUCAUAAUGUUCCAAACUGCAGCUAUAAGAACAUUAAGCAACCUAUUAUGCAUAUUUGACUGCUUUCCUGGAAACCUUGUGCCUUGGUAAAGGUAAAUACAGAAAAAGAAAGUAAAGCUGUAGACACAAAUUUCUAGUAUUAGUUUCUGCUAUAAUACCAACUACUUUUUCCAUGAAACCAAAAUACUUCAGUAUAGCUCUAUUUGUAAAAACAUUCCCUUUUUUUCGUUUUUGUAAUAGUUAUACUAGCACACAUUACUAUAGUUCAUCAUAAAAACAGAUUUAAAGAGCUUAGCUUUAUGUUGAAAUCGAUUUCAGUAAUUAAUUAGUGUCUGUCUGUACAGACUCAAGACAAACUGCACCAGGGCAGUCCCAACUCACCAGUGGAUACCAGGCUGAGCAGGGCGAUCAGGCUGAGGGCUGGCAUCUCGUGCCUUUGAGCUCGCCUUCAUUUCUACAGCUAUUGAAGUGCUCAGAUGGAGAGCUGCACCCUCCCAGCAAGAAAUGACCUGAGUCUCACGAGGCAGCUCAUGCUUUUCUAUGACCUAGGUCCCUUGCUCCCUCUUGGACUUCAGCACACCUCAGGGAGCUGCAGGCCUGUCCUGUUGGGCAAUGGGGCUGUGAACUGAUGCUGGUGGGAUUCCUGCGUUGGGCAAUGGAAGCGUUAAUCCAACAGUCAGGAGGUGUGGUUGUGAAAGAGCCCAGCUGGGCCCUUAGUACACACCAACAGAAGGAUAUGGAACAACCACGUAGUUGCAUGGAGCUGCAGUUGCACCACUUCCUCCCCUCUAACAAGAUAGGGCUCAAAGGAGAUGCUGCUGGAUGUACCAAUGCAGACAGCCAGG